UCCAAUAUGGUCUAGUGGUUAGGAUUUGGCGCUUUCACCGCCAAGGCCAGGGUUCAAUUCCCGGUGUGAGAA
rnacentral:tRNA from 1 species